CCUACGGGGGUCAGCAGUGAGGAAUAUUGGUCAAUGGGCGGAAGCCUGAACCAGCCAAGCCGCGUGAGGGAAUAAGGCCAUACGGGUCGUAAACCCCUUUUUCCGGGGAGCAAGGUCCGGGACGAGUCCCGGUCCGGAGAGUACCCGGAGUAAAAGCAUCGGCUAACUCCGUGCCAGCAGCCGCGGUAAUACGGAGGAUGCGAGCGUUAUCCGGAUUUAUUGGGUUUAAGGGGUGCGUAGGCGGGCUUUUAAGUCAGCGGUAAAAAGUCGGGGCUCAACCCCGUCCGGCCGUUGAAACUGGGGGCCUUGAGUGGGCGAGAAGAAGGCGGAAUGCGUGGUGUAGCGGUGAAAUGCAUAGAUAUCACGCAGAACCCCGAUUGCGAAGGCAGCCUUCCGGCGCCCUACUGACGCUGAGGCACGAAAGUGCGGGGAUCGAACAGGAUUAGAUACCCUUGUAGUC
rnacentral:rRNA from 1 species